AUUGAACGCUGGCGGCAGGCCUAACACAUGCAAGUCGAGCGGAUGAAGGGAGCUUGCUCCUGGAUUCAGCGGCGGACGGGUGAGUAAUGCCUAGGAAUCUGCCUGGUCGUGGGGGAUAACGUCCGUAAACGGGCGCUAAUACCGCAUACGUCCUGAGUGAGAAAGUGGGGGAUCUUCGGACCUCACGCUAUCAGAUGAGCCUAGGUCGGAUUAGCUAGUUGGUGGGGUAAAGGCCUACCAAGGCGACGAUCCGUAACUGGUCUGAGAGGAUGAUCAGUCACACUGGAACUGAGACACGGUCCAGACUCCUACGGGAGGCAGCAGUGGGGAAUAUUGGACAAUGGGCGAAAGCCUGAUCCAGCCAUGCCGCGUGAGUGAAGAAGGUCUUCGGAUUGUAAAGCACUUUAAGUUGGGAGGAAGGGAAGUAAGUUAAUACCUUGCUGUUUUGACGUUACCAACAGAAUAAGCACCGGCUAACUUCGUG
rnacentral:rRNA from 1 species